rnacentral:rRNA from 1 species
UACGUAGGUGACCAGCGUUGUCCGGAUUUAUUGGGCGUAAAGCGCGCGCAGGCAGCUUGACGCGCCCGACGUGAAAGCCCCCGGCUUAACCGGGGAGGGUCGUCGGGUACGGUCAGGCUUGAGGGCGGGAGAGGGUGGUGGAAUUCCCGGUGUAGUGGUGAAAUGCGUAGAGAUCGGGAGGAACACCUGUGGCGAAGGCGGCCACCUGGGCCGACCCUGACGCUGAGGCGCGAAGGCGUGGGGAGCGAACGGG